AUUGAACGCUGGCGGCAUGCCUUACACAUGCAAGUCGAACGGCAGCGCGGGAGCAAUCCUGGCGGCGAGUGGCGAACGGGUGAGUAAUAUAUCGGAACGUGCCCAGUAGUGGGGGGUAGCCCGGCGAAAGCCGGAUUAAUACCGCAUACGACCUACGGGUGAAAGGGGGGGAUCGCAAGACCUCUCGCUAUUGGAGCGGCCGAUAUCAGAUUAGGUAGUUGGUGGGGUAAAGGCCUACCAAGCCUGCGAUCUGUAGUUGGUCUGAGAGGACGACCAGCCACACUGGGACUGAGACACGGCCCAGACUCCUACGGGAGGCAGCAGUGGGGAAUUUUGGACAAUGGGCGCAAGCCUGAUCCAGCAAUGCCGCGUGCAGGAAGAAGGCCUUCGGGUUGUAAACUGCUUUUGUCAGGGAAGAAAUCCUCUGGGUUAAUACCUCGGGGGGAUGACGGUACCCGAAGAAUAAGCACCGGCUAACUACGUGCCAGCCGCCGCGGUAAAAC
rnacentral:rRNA from 1 species